rnacentral:rRNA from 1 species
AAAUUGAAGAGUUUGAUCAUGGCUCAGAUUGAACGCUGGCGGCAGGCCUAACACAUGCAAGUCGAACGGUAACAGRAAGCAGCUUGCUGCUUUGCUGACGAGUGGCGGACGGGUGAGUAAUGUCUGGGAAACUGCCYGAUGGAGGGGGAUAACUACUGGAAACGGUAGCUAAUACCGCAUAACGUCGCAAGACCAAAGAGGGGGACCUUCGGGCCUCUUGCCAUCGGAUGUGCCCAGAUGGGAUUAGCUAGUAGGUGGGG